ACGGAAACAUUGAUUUAGUUUCGCUUUGCAUAUGGGAAGGUCUGAGGCGCCUCUAUCUCAGAGAUUCACUGAAAGAGAUUUCUGGAGAAGCCAACAGAAAACAACCCUUGGAGGCCGCCGAAGAGGGAGGGGUUCGUCCUCUCCGGAGGCGCUGGACUCCAGGGGGCUGAGAGAGCUUCGCGGCGUAGAUUCUAAGUACAAUAAGCGUGACCACCGCUCGGUGGCAACUCAAUUCAGACUAUUCUUCUC
rnacentral:RNase_P_RNA from 1 species